ACGGGUGAGUAACACGUGAGUAACCUGCCCUUGACUCUGGGAUAAGCCUGGGAAACUGGGUCUAAUACCGGAUACGACCAUCUGGCGCAUGUCAUGGUGGUGGAAAGCUUUUGUGGUUUUGGAUGGACUCGCGGCCUAUCAGCUUGUUGGUGGGGUAAUGGCCUACCAAGGCGACGACGGGUAGCCGGCCUGAGAGGGUGACCGGCCACACUGGGACUGAGACACGGCCCAGACUCCUACGGGAGGCAGCAGUGGGGAAUAUUGCACAAUGGGCGCAAGCCUGAUGCAGCGACGCCGCGUGAGGGAUGACGGCCUUCGGGUUGUAAACCUCUUUCAGUAGGGAAGAAGCCGUGAGGUGACGGUACCUGCAGAAGAAGCGCCGGCUAACUACGUGCCAGCAGCCGCGGUAAUACGUAGGGCGCAAGCGUUAUCCGGAAUUAUUGGGCGUAAAGAGCUCGUAGGCGGUUUGUCGCGUCUGCUGUGAAAGACCGGGGCUCAACUCCGGUUCUGCAGUGGGUACGGGCAGACUAGAGUGCAGUAGGGGAGACUGGAAUUCCUGGUGUAGCGGUGAAAUGCGCAGA
rnacentral:rRNA from 1 species